AGAAGUUUAGGUUAAAGAAACCAGAAGCCUUCAAAGCUUCCAACAGGAGUUAAAAUCUCCUAAUUUCUG
rnacentral:tRNA from 1 species